CCAGAGAUAUUUUGGAAGUCUAAAUCUCUGUUGGAUUUGCCAGUUCCCCUUCUGCCUUGGAGAAGGCCCCAAAGGAUUCUUUGCAGGUGACUGGAACCGAGAUGGAAAAUCUAAGGCUUUCAUUCAUGGAGCAAGUCAGAAACACAUUGCUCAGGAGAGAAGCCAUCUCUCUUUGUCCACAACAGGAGAUCAGUCCACUGUCACAUGCUCUUGGGAUAUGCCUCCUGAAGUCAGCUUUCCCUGGCAAGCCGGCUGUGAAAGCAUUCAUGGAUGCUGGGACCUCGCUGCAAGAAGCUGAGGCUACUGCUGCUUAUCUCCAGGGCGGGGAAUGGGCAGCCUCUCCUCCAGCACGAGAGCCUGGGUUCCGCUCCUUCCUCCCGAAGGGACUUGAAGAAGAAAUCACACAGGGGAAGGCCUCAGCUGUGGGAGGCUGGAGCAGCAAAGCCAAUAAACCCAGCUUUAUUUGUAAUGUGCCCGUGCUUCUUAUUUUGUUAGCCUCUACUCUGCUUCUUUGGAGCAAUGAAACAAGGAAAAGAAAAGAAAAAAAAAAAAAAGAGCCCCGCUCUAAGUAUGCAUGAACUUUAUGGCCUCACUCUGCUCUCUGUCCUCCUCCUUCCCACCAGGGUUGCCUGUGAAUUCUUCUCCCAGACUUCGUGUUUUCCAUCCUAACUUUUAUGACAUUUCCCUCGAUUAAUGGCUAACACAUUCAUUUUCUCCCCUCCACCCUCAUUAUCAAAGAGCGCUUGAAUAACUAUUAACUCUCUGGUUAACAGAAACAUGUUAAUCAUCUACAAGCCCUUGGGCAGGAAAAUGAUUCUUUGUAACCUUCUCCCAAAGGCGGGAGAGCCCUUGUCCCCUGGGAGCUGACCUUCAGACCAACCCCGGUCUAGAGGUUGGCAG
rnacentral:lncRNA from 1 species